rnacentral:rRNA from 1 species
UACGUAGGGCGCAAGCGUUGUCCGGAAUUAUUGGGCGUAAAGAGCUCGUAGGCGGCUUGUCACGUCGAUUGUGAAAGCCCGAGGCUUAACCUCGGGUCUGCAGUCGAUACGGGCUAGCUAGAGUGUGGUAGGGGAGAUCGGAAUUCCUGGUGUAGCGGUGAAAUGCGCAGAUAUCAGGAGGAACACCGGUGGCGAAGGCGAAUCUCUGGGCCAUUACUGACGCUGAGGAGCGAAAGCGUGGGGAGCAAACAGG